rnacentral:rRNA from 1 species
UACGUAGGGCGCAAGCGUUAUCCGGAAUUAUUGGGCGUAAAGAGCUCGUAGGCGGUUUGUCGCGUCUGCCGUGAAAGUCCGGGGCUCAACUCCGGAUCUGCGGUGGGUACGGGCAGACUAGAGUGAUGUAGGGGAGACUGGAAUUCCUGGUGUAGCGGUGAAAUGUGUAGAGAUCGGGAGGAACACCGGUGGCGAAGGCGGGUCUCUGGGCAUCUCCUGACGCUGAGGCGCGAAAGCGUGGGGAGCAAACAGG